CUCGAUCCUGGCGCGGACGUUGAGCGGGUUGUCGUCCUUCUUGGACCGCUCGUUCGGAUUCAGCGGCUCGCGG
rnacentral:tRNA from 1 species